ACGAAGGGGGCUAGCGUUGCUCGGAAUCACUGGGCGUAAAGGGCGCGUAGGCGGCCGAUCAAGUCAGGGGUGAAAGCCUGUGGCUCAACCACAGAAUUGCCUUUGAUACUGUUCGGCUCGAGACCGGAAGAGGUUGGUGGAACUGCGAGUGUAGAGGUGAAAUUCGUAGAUAUUCGCAAGAACACCAGUGGCGAAGGCGGCCAACUGGUCCGGUUCUGACGCUGAGGCGCGAAAGCGUGGGGAGCAAACAGGA
rnacentral:rRNA from 1 species